UGAGCGGAGGUGAAUGCACCUGCUUAAGGAGAGGAAGGCAGAUCACCAAAGGCGGCAGGAGUCCUGUGAUGAGGAUGGGAGGUUGGGAGAAGCUAAGAAGAAGGAGAGAAGAGACUCUACAGUGGAAGAACACACUUUGGGAAGAGCAGGAUCAGCCCCUUUAUCAUUUCAGUUUCCCUCUUCUGCUGCACCUUCUUCAGUUCGACAAUAUCCCCUUUUUGUAAUCUGGUGACCGGAACAAUACACAUUACUUCUGAGGAACAGCUACAACUGGAAACAAGGUCAGCUUCAUGUUGUUGUUGCUGUUGUUGUUGUUAUACCCCAGUAAGCUUCCAUACCACCUUGGGUUUAUUCUCUCUUUUUGACAGUUAAAGCACCACAUUUUCAUUGAUGCCAGGAGAUGUUGAACAGUAGGGCACACAUCUUGGGGUGCCUCUGUUAUGGCACAAGAGAUAUUCCCAGACUGAUUGGGCAAGGUUUGGACCACAAUGUGUGUCUGGACAUUUAAAUUUGCAUU